rnacentral:rRNA from 1 species
AGUAACGGCGAGUGAAGCGGCAACAGCUCAAAUUUGAAAUCUGGCCCUCGGGUCCGAGUUGUAAUUUGUAGAGGAUGCUUUUGGCGCGGUGCCUUCCGAGUUCCCUGGAACGGGACGCCUUAGAGGGUGAGAGCCCCGUACGGUUGGACACCAAGCCUCUGUAAAGCUCCUUCGACGAGUCGAGUAGUUUGGGAAUGCUGCUCUAAAUGGGAGGUAAAUUUCUUCUAAAGCUAAAUAUUGGCCAGAGACCGAUAGCGCACAAGUAGAGUGAUCGAAAGAUGAAAAGCACUUUGAAAAGAGGGUUAAAUAGCACGUGAAAUUGUUGAAAGGGAAGCGUUUGCGACCAGACCUUUUCCUAGCGGAUCAACCGGUGUUCUCACCGGUGCACUUCGCUAGGUUUAGGCCAGCAUCGGUUUCUGUAGGGGGAUAAAAGCUCUGGGAACGUAGCUCCUCCGGGAGUGUUAUAGCCCUCUGCAUAAUACCCUUACGGGGACCGAGGACCGCGCUUCGGCAAGGAUGCUGGCGUAAUGGUCGUCAACGACCCGUCUUGAAACACGGACCAAGGAGUCGAACAUUUGUGCGAGUGUUUGGGUGUUAAACCCUCACGCGUAAUGAAAGUGAACGGAGGUGAGAGCCCUUACGGGUGCAUCAUCGACCGAUCCUGAUGUCUUCGGAUGGAUUUGAGUAAGAGCAUAACUGUUCGGACCCGAAAGAUGGUGAACUAUGCGUGGAUAGGGUGAAGCCAGAGGAAACUCUGGUGGAGGCUCGCAGCGGUUCUGACGUGCAAAUCGAUCGUCAAAUCUGCG